rnacentral:rRNA from 1 species
CCUACGGGAGACAGCAGUGAGGAAUAUUGGUCAAUGGACGAGAGUCUGAACCAGCCAAGUAGCGUGAAGGAUGACUGCCCUAUGGGUUGUAAACUUCUUUUAUAUGGGAAUAAAAUGUUCCACGUGUGGGCUUUUGUAUGUACCAUAUGAAUAAGGAUCGGCUAACUCCGUGCCAGCAGCCGCGGUAAUACGGAGGAUGCGAGCGUUAUCCGGAUUUAUUGGGUUUAAAGGGUGCGUAGGCGGGCUGUUAAGUCAGCGGUAAAAGCCCGGGGCUCAACCCCGGCGAGCCGUUGAAACUGGCUGUCUUGAGAUGUCGAGAGGUAUGCGGAAUGCGCAGUGUAGCGGUGAAAUGCUUAGAUAUUGCGCAGAACUCCGAUUGCGAAGGCAGCAUACCGGCGGCGAUCUGACGCUGAGGCACGAAAGCGUGGGUAUCGAACAGGAUUAGAUACCCCUGUAGUC